rnacentral:rRNA from 1 species
CCGCUAGUGCCGCAGCUAACGCAUUAAGUAUACCGCCUGGGGAGUACACUCGCAAGGGUGAAACUCAAAGAAAUUGACGGGGGCCCGCACAAGCGGUGGAUCAUGUGGUUUAAUUCGAUGAUACGCGAAGAACCUUACCUGGGCUUGAACUGUGCCUGACAGGUGUAGAGAUACACUCUCCUUCGGGCAGGUACAGAGGUGCUGCAUGGUUGUCGUCAGCUCGUGUCGUGAGAUGUUGGGUUAAGUCCCGCAACGAGCGUAACCCUUACCCCUUGUUGCUAACAGGUUAAGCUGAGCACUCUAGGGGGACUGCCGGUGAUAAACCGGAGGAAGGUGAGGAUGACGUCAAAUCAUCACGGCCCUUAUGUCCAGGGCUACACACGUGAUACAAUGGUCGGUACAAAGAGCUGCAAUACCGCAAGGUGGAGCUAAUCUCAAAAAACCGACCUCAGUUCGGAUUGUAGUUUGCAACUCGACUACAUGAAGUUGGAAUCGCUAGUAAUCGCAGAUCAGCACGCUGCGGUGAAUACGUUCCCGGGCCUUGUACACACCGCCCGUCACACCAUCCGAGUUGGCAGCACCCAAAGGGGCUGGUCUAACCCGCAAGGGAGGAAGGUCAUUAAGGUGAAGCUAGUAAGGAGGGUGAAGUCGUAACAAGGUAGCCG